rnacentral:lncRNA from 1 species
GAGUUCUCCACCACCCUCCAACCAUCAAACACUCCUCCACACUCACCUUAAACCUUUCCAUACCAUUCCCCAUCCAUUCUACACCAUAAAACUACCCAAAACCUGUCCAUAACCCAAUCUGCCGCAAGCAAGGGAAAAGAGGAAUCUUGGAUGCACUUGCUGCCAAGUUGGAGCAUUCUAGGUGUUUUCUUUCUUUGGAUUUUAAUGUCUAAUUCAUGUAAUCUUUGUUUUGCUUUAAGUAUGAUUGGCUAAUUUCGUUUUUGGCUAAGGGUGUAUUCAAAACCAU